CAGCCAGCCAGUGAGUCUGCUUACCUAAACAUACAUAUAUAUAUAUACAUAUACAUAUAUAUAUAUAUAUAUAUAUAUAUAUGCAGAGAGAGAGAGAGAUUUAGAAAAAGCUGACAAUAGUAGUGCCAUGAGAUGAGCCUUAAGGACAAUCAAAGUCAUUAAGGCCCCUGAGAAUGGCUACAACA